rnacentral:tRNA from 10 species
GCGCCCAUAGCUCAGCUGGAUAGAGCGCCUGUCUACGGAACAGGAGGCCGGGGGUUCGAAUCCCUCUGGGCGCACCA